rnacentral:rRNA from 1 species
AUUGAACGCUGGCGGCAGGCUUAACACAUGUAAGUCGAGCGAGCGGCGGACGGGUGAGUAAUGUCUGGGAAACUGCCUGAUGGAGGGGGAUCAAUACUGGAAACGGUAGCUUAUACCGCAUACCAUCAGAUGUGCCCAGAUGGGAUUCGCUAGUCGGUGGGGUAAUGGCUCACAGAGGGGACAAUCCCUAGCUGGUCUGACAGGAUGACCAGCCAAAUUGGAAAUGCUACACGGUCCAGACUCCUACGGGGGGCAGCAGGGGGGAAUAUUGCACAGUGGGCGCAAUCCUGAUGCAGCCAUGCGGCGGGUGUGAAGAAGGCCUUCGGGUUGUAAAGCACUUUAAGCGAGGAGGCGUUACUCGCAGAAGAAGCACCGGCUAACUCCGUGCCAGCAGCCGCGGUAAUUC